AGAGCUGCGGCGUGCUAACACAUGCAAGUCGAACGAUGAUCUCCAGCUUGCUGGGGGGAUUAGUGGCGAACGGGUGAGUAACACGUGAGUAACCUGCCCUUGACUCUGGGAUAAGCCUGGGAAACUGGGUCUAAUACCGGAUACGACCAUUCCGCGCAUGCGGUGGUGGUGGAAAGCUUUUGCGGUUUUGGAUGGACUCGCGGCCUAUCAGCUUGUUGGUGGGGUAAUGGCCUACCAAGGCGACGACGGGUAGCCGGCCUGAGAGGGUGACCGGCCACACUGGGACUGAGACACGGCCCAGACUCCUACGGGAGGCAGCAGUGGGGAAUAUUGCACAAUGGGCGGAAGCCUGAUGCAGCGACGCCGCGUGAGGGAUGACGGCCUUCGGGUUGUAAACCUCUUUCAGUAGGGAAGAAGCGAAAGUGACGGUACCUGCAGAAGAAGCGCCGGCUAACUACGUGCCAGCAGCCGCGGUAAUACGUAGGGCGCAAGCGUUAUCCGGAAUUAUUGGGCGUAAAGAGCUCGUAGGCGGUUUGUCGCGUCUGCUGUGAAAGACCGGGGCUCAACUCCGGUUCUGCAGUGGGUACGGGCAGACUAGAGUGAUGUAGGGGAGACUGGAAUUCCUGGUGUAGCGGUGAAAUGCGCAGAUAUCAGGAGGAACACCGAUGGCGAAGGCAGGUCUCUGGGCAUUAACUGACGCUGAGGAGCGAAAGCAUGGGGAGCGAACAGGAUUAGAUACCCUGGUAGUCCAUGCCGUAAACGUUGGGCACUAGGUGGGGGGGACAUUCCACGUUUUCCGCGCCGUAGCUAACGCAUUAAGUGCCCCGCCU
rnacentral:rRNA from 1 species